GGCCGCCUGGCGAAAUGGCAUCGCGUCUGACUACGAGCAUUACGUGAUUUGAUUACGUAAUUUCGGGAUCAGGAGAUUGCAGGUUCAACCCCUGCGGUGGUCA